rnacentral:rRNA from 1 species
GUUUGAUCAUGGCUCAGGAUGAACGCUAGCGACAGGCUAACACAUGCAAGCGAGGGGCAUCACGGGAGAGCAAUACAACUGGUGGCGACCGGCGCACGGGUGAGUAACGCGUAUGCAACCUACCUAUCAGAGGGGAAUAACCCGGCGAAAGUCGGACUAAUACCGCAGUAAAACAGGGGCACCGCAUGGUGAUAUUUGUUAAAGAAAUUCGCUGAUAGAUGGGCAUGCGUUCCAUUAGGUAGUUGGUGAGGUAACGGCUCACCAAGCCGACGAUGGAUAGGGGAACUGAGAGGUUGGUCCCCCACACUGGUACUGAGACACGGACCAGACUCCUACGGGAGGCAGCAGUGAGGAAUAUUGGUCAAUGGGCGGGAGCCUGAACCAGCCAAGUCGCGUGAAGGAAAAGAAGGAUCUAUGGUUCGUAAACUUCUUUUGCAGGGGAAUAAAGUGCAGGACGUGUCCUGUUUUGUAUGUACCUUGAGAAUAAGGAUCGGCUAACUCCGUGCCAGCAGCUGC